rnacentral:rRNA from 1 species
UACGUAGGGCGCAAGCGUUAUCCGGAAUUAUUGGGCGUAAAGAGCUCGUAGGCGGUUUGUCGCGUCUGCCGUGAAAGUCCGGGGCUCAACUCCGGAUCUGCGGUGGGUACGGGCAGACUAGAGUGAUGUAGGGGAGACUGGAAUUCUCGGUGUAGCGGUGAAAUGCGUAGAUAUCGAGAGGAACACCUGCGGCGAAGGCGGGUUGCUGGGCUGAUACUGACGCUGAGGCGCGAAAGCCAGGGGAGCGAACGGG